GACGAACGCUGGCGGCGUGCCUAAUACAUGCAAGUCGAGCGGACGAAUCGAAAGCUUGCUUUUGAUUCGUUAGCGGCGGACGGGUGAGUAACACGUGGGCAACCUGCCCUGUAGACGGGGAUAACACCGAGAAAUCGGUGCUAAUACCGGAUAACACGAAAUGUCGCAUGACGUUUCGUUGAAAGACGGCGCAAGCUGUCGCUACAGGAUGGGCUCGCGGCGCAUUAGCUAGUUGGUGAGGUAACGGCUCACCAAGGCGACGAUGCGUAGCCGACCUGAGAGGGUGAUCGGCCACACUGGGACUGAGACACGGCCCAGACUCCUACGGGAGGCAGCAGUAAGGAAUCUUCCGCAAUGGACGAAAGUCUGACGGAGCAACGCCGCGUGAGCGAAGAAGGCCUUCGGGUCGUAAAGCUCUGUUGUUAGGGAAGAACAAGUAACGCAGUAACUGGCGUUACCGUGACGGUACCUAACGAGAAAGCCACGGCUAACUACGUG
rnacentral:rRNA from 1 species